rnacentral:rRNA from 1 species
UACGGAGGGUGCAAGCGUUAUCCGGAUUUACUGGGUUUAAAGGGUGCGUAGGUGGAUUGGGUAGUCAGUGGUGAAAUACUUUCGCUUAACGAAGGAACUGCCAUUGAUACUCUCAAUCUUGAAUACAGUGGAGGCAGGCGGAAUGUGUCAUGUAGCGGUGAAAUGCUUAGAUAUGACACAGAACACCUAUUGCGAAGGCAGCUUGCUACACUGUGAUUGACACUGAGGCACGAAAGCGUGGGGAUCAAACAGGUAGUU